GCGCACGUUUUCUGUUGAGAUCGCGAUAAAGAGUACAUCGACGGAGUGUUGAAGUUUAGUUUCUGCGUGCUCAUUUAUUGAUCUAAAUUGUGUGAAAGCAGCAGAGGUCAGUGCACGGUGUUUUGAACAACUAAAGAAGACCGGAGCGACGCUGCGGGUGACGGAGAGGAGCAGCAGCCGAAAGCUAGCCGAGCUAACCUGUGUUUCAGUGAUGGGGCAAAGGAUGGCAGCUCUGGUCAGUUGGUCACUCCAUGCAACACUUUGGUACCUCAUCUACUCCUGCUGUGUGACCUGCCGAGGAGCGUGACAGUUUGUUGCUACGUGACGACCGAGGGUAAGAAUGUGUGGCAGAGUCCUGCAAAGACAACAGAGAGGAAUCCUUUCC